UUAUUGUGAUGAAUUUUUUGUUACGAGUAGUUAAUCAGUUGCCGCCUAAGAGCUUUCGCCCUGCCAGGCUUGAGAGCUAAUGCUGCUAAUUCCUUCCUUGGAUGUCUGAGCCU
rnacentral:snoRNA from 2 species